CCUACGGGAGGCAGCAGUGAGGAAUAUUGGUCAAUGGGCUUACGCCUGAACCAGCCAAGUCGCGUGAGGGAAGACUGCCCUAUGGGUUGUAAACCUCUUUUGUCAGGGAGCAACGCCGGCUACGUGUAGCCGGACUGAGAGUACCUGAAGAAAAAGCAUCGGCUAACUCCGUGCCAGCAGCCGCGGUAAUACGGAGGAUGUGAGCGUUAUCCGGAUUUAUUGGGUUUAAAGGGUGCGUAGGCGGGCCUUCAGGCCGGCGGUAAAAUUGCGGGGCUCAACCCCGCCGAGCCGUCGGAACCGGGGGCCUUGAGUACCGGAGAAGUACGCGGAAUGCGUGGUGUAGCGGUGAAAUGCAUAGAUAUCACGCAGAACCCCGAUUGCGAAGGCAGCGUACCGGCCGGUCACUGACGCUGAGGCACGAAAGCGCGGGUAUCGAACAGGAUUAGAUACCCGAGUAGUC
rnacentral:rRNA from 1 species